rnacentral:rRNA from 1 species
GACGAACGCUGGCGGCGUGCUUAACACAUGCAAGUCGUACGGUAAGGCCCUUUCGGGGGUACACGAGUGGCGAACGGGUGAGUAACACGUGAGUAACCUGCCCACAACUUUGGGAUAACGCUAGGAAACUGGUGCUAAUACUGGAUAUGUGCUCCUGCUGCAUGGUGGGGGUUGGAAAGCUCCGGCGGUUGUGGAUGGACUCGCGGCCUAUCAGCUUGUUGGUGGGGUAGUGGCCUACCAAGGCGGCGACGGGUAGCCGGCCUGAGAGGGUGACCGGCCACAUUGGGACUGAGAUACGGCCCAGACUCCUACGGGAGGCAGCAGUGGGGAAUAUUGCACAAUGGGCGCAAGCCUGAUGCAGCAACGCCGCGUGCGGGAUGACGGCCUUCGGGUUGUAAACCGCUUUUAGCAGGGACGAAGCUUUUUGUGACGGUACCUGCAGAAGAAGCACCGGCUAACUACGUG